CCUUUAGCUACUGAUUUAAAGCCCCGCAUAAUGUUAUUGUUUACAUUUAGUACAACAUAUAGGUCAGAGAAGUCGUUCUGUUUAAUUCAUGCGUAUAUUUACAAUUUUUAUCUAAAUUAACGCUAGACAUGGAUUAUUAUACAUCUGGAUGGCCAGUUCUACUGGUUUUAUUAUUAUUACACAUUAAAGAGUCUGUUGGAGAAUACUGUUACUAUAACAACCGACAGUCACGUCAGUACUGUACGUAUGGCUGUUGUGAUUAUGAAGAAGAAAGUGGUUGCUGUCCUGCGACAUAUCUUGGUGUGAGAAUUGCAGUUGGUACGGUAUUUGGGUUCCUUAUUUUAAUGGCUCUAAUAAUUGUCUAUUGUUGUCGACGUAAAUGUAAAGAUGAAUCUAAACGUAAUCUUAACAGACCAGCACAUAACAAUACCAUCAGCCCAAAUACUGUUCAAGCAAACGAAGUUCCGUCUGGUGUGAAUAACCCAUCAGUGUUCUCACUAUCACCGCCAUCAUUGUUUGGAUCACACCCAGCAAAUACUUUUGAUCCACCGCCAUCUUAUGAAUCGGUUGUAGCACAACAAAACCAGGGCCCAGAUAUGGUUUAAUGCUCAUGUAACACAAAUUACGUCAUUUCAGGCCUAACAUGUAUGGUAUAAUAAUGUACAAUAAUUCGCUUGCUCACAGUGGUCUUUGGCAGUAAGAGGAAACCCGAGAAAACCCACGAGGUUAGACAGGCGACCUUACUCCUGCCCACGCACACCGACAUCUGAAUAGAUGAUAUAUAUUAUGCUCUUAAGUGCAGCGAUUUCGGUCAUGGCGGUAAAAUGUCGGAGAAAAGAAUAUAUCUCAAAAAUCACAAUAUUGUGAAAGUUGAAUCUCUAAAAAUAAAUUAAAAAAUAAUAAAAUAAGACAAUUGUUUUUAAAUCCAAGAUUAGAACAGUUCAACCAUACUUUGAUUUAAGCUUAAAAAAAAAUGGAGGAGCGAGAAUUAGCUUCGAACAACCAGUACGGUGGUUGAAAUUAUUGCACACGUGUUGUCAAACCUUCAAAGGCUAAUACCUGCGCUGGCAAUAGAGUAAUUUGAGUGACAUUUUCAAAUUAUUCAUUUUACGUUAUCUAUUUUCGAACUAUUAUAGCAAGAAUGGCUAGCUCUACUAUCUAAAUCUUUUUUUUAAAAUCUAAGACGGAAGUUUAUCUACCGUGGAUAUUUUGUUUUCUUAAAGUCAUUGAUCGCCGUUUAUGUGAUUCUUAUCCAUUAAAAUGUAUAACAUUGUGAAAGUUGGAUUUCUAAAAGGAAUAACGUAACUGUUUUUUUAAUACUAGCUGAAUGUAACUAGUGUUUUAAGCUAGUUUAACAUAACUUAUGUUUCCAAGCUAGCUUAACGUAACUUAUGUUUCUAAGCUAGCUUAACGUAACUAGUAUUUUAAGCUAAAUUAACGUAACUGGUGUUUUAAGCCAGGUGAAUAUAACUAGUGUUCUCAACUAGCUAGUAUUUUCAGUUAAAUUAGCUUAACGUAACUACAUGUAGUGUCUUCAGCUAAAUUAACGUAACUAGUAGUUUAAGAUAGCUUAACGUAACUAGUGGUUUAAGAUAGCUUAACGUAACUAGCGUUUUAAGAUAGCUUAACGUAACUAGUAUUUUCAGCUAAAUUAACGUAACUAGUGGUUUAAGAUAGGUUAACGUAAUUGCUGAUUUAAAAUAGGUUAAUUUAACUAGUGUUUUAAGCUAACUUAGGGUAACUGGUGUGUUAAGCCAGCUUAAUGUAACUCGUGCUUUCAGCUAAAUUAGCGUAGCCGGUGUUUUAAGAUAGCUUAACGUAACUAGUGUUUUAAGCUAUCUUAACGUAACUGGUGUUUUCAGCUAGCUUAACGUAACUAGUGUUUUAAAAUAGCUUAACGUAACUAGUGUUUUAAGCUAACUUAAGGUAACUGGUGUGUUAAGCCAGCUAAGCGCAACGGGUGUUUUAAGCUAGUUUAUCGUAACUGUCGUCUGAACGAGCUAUAGCUAAACUACAAUAACCAGACCAUAACACAUCAAACCUACAUCAUUUUAUUAUAAUAUGCGACCUGGGUGUAUUCCGAUAAAACCAAGCAUAUUUCAUUUAUACUUUGUAUUUGAACAUCGAAUUAUCAUUUGUCGUUUUAAGAGACCAGCCAUUUUGUAUUAAUGCAGUUCUGAGAUAUUUUCAGACUGAAUGUCACCCAAUCUGAUUAAAACACAGAUCCUAUUUCUUUUCGUUUUUUUGUUUUUUUAGUUCAAAAUUUCGUUUGACUUGUCUUUUAGUGUAGGCUAUCGAAAGUAUAAAAAACGAAUCGAAGUAUAGAUCUGUAUUUUAAUUAGAUGGGAAUAUCAUCGCUCAUAUAAUAUUUUUUGUUUUGUUUUUAAUGUAGCUUUGUGAGAUAUAUAAUACAAAUGUUCUAAUCUUUACUGUGAUAUUUUCUAAUACCAAAUAUUAUUUUACUUAUAUUUUCAUUAUAUUUUAUGUAAAUAAUUUUAUUUAACAUGGUUAGUUCUAAUUAUCAUAAUAUAACAAGACUUAAACAUACAUUAUGCAAGAGCUUAUUCUGCCUAUUACAGGUCUUUCUUUAGGCCUGAAAUGUUAUCUAAUUUAUUAAUUAGACAUUAAUUAACUUAUCCAGACCAUAGUCAACUCUCUGUGUCAUCGCUUGCCUGCGAUAUUUACUGGAUUAAAAUUCGAUUAGCUGCUCAACUUUCAUUCAUGAUUUAAUCAUGAAAUGGAUAAUCGAGACUAUGUUUGUUCAUCGUACCGUCUUUAGUAAUGAUGAUCGAAGCUAGGCCCAAAAUUCAAUCGCUAAAUUAUCGGUUCAGAGUGGAUCAAUUUGACUGAAAUUUUCAGCAAAUUUCCUUUACAUUAUCUAGUUUCUAACUAUUAUAGUGAGAACUGCCAGCUCUUUAUCUAAUCUACCAUAAUGUACCUUUAAUAUUACUGUGUACUUUUAUGCGUAACAUAAUAUUUAAUAAAUUUGAUUUUAAUGUAUAUUUAUUAAUUGAAAAUGUAAACAAUUGUGAAUUAAAGUUUUAAUAACUUUGAUUUCGAUGUUGGUAUAUUAACUGAUAAAACAUAGAUUUACGGUAAUAAAAGUUUUUAAUAAUAAA